GAACUGGCAGGCUAGAGUGCAGGAGAGGAAGGUGGAAUUCCCGGUGUAGCGGUGAAAUGCGUAGAGAUCGGGAGGAAUACCAGUGGCGAAGGCGGCUUUCUGGACUGACACUGACGCUGAGGCGCGAAAGCGUGGGUAGCAAACAGGAUUAGAUACCCUGGUAGUCCACGCCGUAAACGAUGUCGACCAGCCGUUGGACCCCUUGAGGGUCUGGUGGCGCAGUUAACGCAAUAAGUCGACCGCCUGGGGAGUACGGCCGCAAGGCUAAAACUCAAAUGAAUUGACGGGGGCCCGCACAAGCGGUGGAGCAUGUGGUUUAAUUCGAUGCAACGCGAAGAACCUUACCUGCCCUUGACAUCCUGCGAACCCGGAAGAGAUUCCGGGGUGCCUUCGGGAACGCAGAGACAGGUGCUGCAUGGCUGUCGUCAGCUCGUGUUGUGAAAUGUUGGGUUAAGUCCCGUAACGAGCGCAACCCCUAUCCCUUUUUGCCAGCGGUCCGGCCGGGAACUUCAGGGAGACUGCCGGUGACAAACCGGAGGAAGGUGGGGACGACGUCAAGUCAUCAUGGCCCUUACGGGCAGGGCUACACACGUGCUACAAUGGCCGGUACAAAGGGUUGCGAAGCGGCGACGUGAAGCCAAUCCCAUAAAGCCGGCCUCAGUCCGGAUCGGAGUCUGCAACUCGACUCCGUGAAGUCGGAAUCGCUAGUAAUCGUGGAUCAGAAUGCCACGGUGAAUACGUUCCCGGGCCUUGUACACACCGCCCGUCACACCAUGGGAGUGGACUGCACCAGAAGUGGUUAGCUUAACCUUCGGGAGAGCGAUCACCACGGUGUGGUUCAUGACUGGGGUGAAGUCGUAACAAGGUAACC
rnacentral:rRNA from 1 species